rnacentral:rRNA from 1 species
UUACCCAAUCCCAAUACGGGGAGGUAGUGACAAUAAAUAACAAUAUAGGGCUCUUUCGGGUCUUAUAAUUGGAAUGAGUACAAUUUAAAUCCCUUAACGAGGAACAAUUGGAGGGCAAGUCUGGUGCCAGCAGCCGCGGUAAUUCCAGCUCCAAUAGCAUAUAUUAAAGUUGUUGCAGUUAAAAAGCUCGUAGUUGAACUUCAGGCCUGGCUGGGUGGUCCGCUUAACGGCGUGUACUGUUUGGCUGGGUCUUACCUCUUGGUGAGCCAGCGUGCCCUUUAUUGGUGUGCGUUGGGGAACCAGGACUUUUACCUUGAGAAAAUUAGAGUGUUCAAAGCAGGCCUAUGCCCGAAUACAUUAGCAUGGAAUAAUAAAAUAGGACGUGCGGUUCUAUUUUGUUGGUUUCUAGAGUCGCCGUAAUGAUUAAUAGGGAUAGUUGGGGGCAUUGGUAUUGAGUCGCUAGAGGUGAAAUUCUUGGAUUGACUCAAGACCAACUAUUGCGAAAGCAUUUGCCAAGGAUGUUUUCAUUAAUCAAGAACGAAGGUUAGGGGAUCGAAAACGAUCAGAUACCGUUGUAGUCUUAACAGUAAACUAUGCCGACUAGGGAUCGGGCAACCUCAAUUAUGAUGUGUUGCUCGGCACCUUACGAGAAAUCAAGGUCUUUGGGUUCUGGGGGGAGUAUGGUCGCAAGGCUGAAACUUAAAGGAAUUGACGGAAGGGCACCACCAGGUGUGGAGCCUGCGG